rnacentral:lncRNA from 1 species
UGAGCUAUGAUUGCACCACUGCACUCCAGUCUGGGCGACAGAACCAGACCAUGUCUAAAAAGAAAAAACACUCAGUGAUAAUUUCACAUUACAGUUUGAGAGGUUCCUGUUGACUUGGGGAAACUAGUUUUAGCAGACUUCAUUAAAGGAGUGUACACCUUACUACAGGAUGUAAUUUAAAAUAGAAUGUUUAAAUAAUAAAUUCACUUCUGGGUAUAUACUCAAAGCAGGAAUUCAAACAGGUAUUUGUACACCAAAGUUCGUAACAGCAUUAUUCACAGUAGCCAAAAUGUGGAAACAACCCAAAUGUCCAUUAAAGGAUGAAUAAACAAAAUGUGAUAUACAUACAAUGGAAUAUUCAGCCUUUAUUUUUCCAAUCAGAGUUUCAGGAAAAUCAACCUUUAAAAGGAGUGAAAUUCUGACAUUUGCUGCCACAUGGAUGAAUCUUGAUGAUGAUAUGCUGAGUGAUAUAUAAUCAGUCACGGAAGGACAAAUACUGCAUGAUUCAAUUUAUAUCAGUGCUUUGCUAAUGACUGACCGGUGUGGAUGUAUAAAAGUCCAGCUCCGUGAUCUCAGACUUCCGGCCUCCAGAACUCAGGCCCUGACAUUGUAUAAGCUUCAGGCCCCACAAAACCUGGAUCUGCCCUGCCAGGAUCAGCAUCUAGAGGAAAACUACUACUUCCACAAUAGCACAACCAAUCUGAUCAUCCCUGCAUCAGUGAGCAUUCUCCAGAGAAACAGAGCCAACAGGAUAUGUGUAUAUAUGUGAAGAAAGACUUAUUUUAAGGAGUUGGCUCAUGCAAUUAUGGAGGUGCAAGUCCAAAAUCUGUAGGGCAGGCAGAUGGGCAGACUGGAGACCCAGAGAAGAGUUGCAGUUCAAGUCCAAAGUCGGUUGGAAGAAUUCCCUCUUGCUGGGUAACACUGGGGAAGCAGGAGUAGAUGGAAAGGGGAGGUGUCAGGCUUUGCUCUACCAAGGACUUCAACUGAUUGGAUGAGGCCCAGUAACAUUAUGGAGGGAAACCUGCUUUGCUCAGAGUUUACUGAUUUAAAUAUUAAUCUCAUCCACAAAAAAAUAAAUAACCUUCACAGAAACAUUUAGAAUAUUUGACCAAAUAUCUAAGUCCCAUGGCUCAGACAACUUAACACAUAAAAUUAUCCAUCACAAUUCCAUUAUCCCAAUACAGGUCGGCAGGGCCUUGGGCAGGUGGUAACCUCAGCUCUGGAGUCUACAGCAAUACUCUCACACUUAACAGAUGUAGUUCUGUGGGUCCAGGUCCCACUUCGCAAGAGAGAAUCUGAUGGGCUAAUUUCGACCAAGUCUCCUUUCCUAGUUCAAUCACGUGUAAGGGUUAGAGAAAGGGUUGGGCUCACAAGGGACUUAGGGCUGCCUCUCUGGACUUGGGAGAGCAGGACUUCUCAAGAGAUAAAUGGUUAGAGAGUAAUAUAAUUUGGAUAUUUGUCCCCUAUAAAUCUCAUGUUGAAAUUUGAUGUUCAAUGUUGAGGGCAGGUCUGGGACCUCCCUCCCUGCUUUUGCUCCCCCUCUCGCCAUAUGGCACAACUGCUCCCUUCACCUUCUGCUAUGAAUGGAAGCUUCCUGAGGCCUUCACCAAAAGCGGAGGCUGGUACCAUGCUUCACGCACAGCCUGCAGAAUCAUGAGCCAAAUAAACUACUUUUCUUUAUAAAUCAUCCAGUUUCAGGUAUUCGCUUAUAGCAACACAAAAUGGACUAAUACAGAGAGGAAAUAUUUUGAGCACAUUGAAGGCCCCAAAAUAUUGAGCUUUUUUUUUUUAACCUAUAUAGUACUUUUCUUGCAUCUCAGUUUGCUUAUCUAUAGAAUGAGGAUUAAUAAGACCUACCAACUUCAGGGGGUCAUUCUGGUGAGAUAAGUGAAAAAAUUUGUAAAGAAGUGUAUAAAUUUACCAUUGUUUUUUAAAACUAAAAUGAUCUCUAACACUAAGUUGAUGAUCUGAUCACAAAGAUGGGGUAGAUGAAAUGAAGAGAAAAGGUUUCUGACAUUUGUAUACUUAGAAAUGUAUCCAG